rnacentral:rRNA from 1 species
GACGAACGCUGGCGGCGUGCUUAACACAUGCAAGUCGAACGGAAAGGCCCUGCUUUUGUGGGGUGCUCGAGUGGCGAACGGGUGAGUAACACGUGAGUAACCUGCCCUUGACUUUGGGAUAACUUCAGGAAACUGGGGCUAAUACCGGAUAGGAGCUCCUGCUGCAUGGUGGGGGUUGGAAAGUUUCGGCGGUUGGGGAUGGACUCGCGGCUUAUCAGCUUGUUGGUGGGGUAGUGGCUUACCAAGGCUUUGACGGGUAGCCGGCCUGAGAGGGUGACCGGCCACAUUGGGACUGAGAUACGGCCCAGACUCCUACGGGAGGCAGCGGUGGGGAAUAUUGCACAAUGGGCGGAAGCCUGAUGCAGCAACGCCGCGUGCGGGAUAACGGCCUUCGGGUUGUAAACCGCUUUCGCCUGUGACGAAGCGUGAGUGACGGUAAUGGGUAAAGAAGCACCGGCUAACUACGUG